CAUGCAAGUCGAGCGGACCGACGGGAGCUUGCUCCCUUAGGUCAGCGGCGGACGGGUGAGUAACACGUGGGUAACCUGCCUGUAAGACUGGGAUAACUCCGGGAAACCGGGGCUAAUACCGGAUGCUUGAUUGAACCGCAUGGUUCAAUCAUAAAAGGUGGCUUUUAGCUACCACUUGCAGAUGGACCCGCGGCGCAUUAGCUAGUUGGUGAGGUAACGGCUCACCAAGGCGACGAUGCGUAGCCGACCUGAGAGGGUGAUCGGCCACACUGGGACUGAGACACGGCCCAGACUCCUACGGGAGGCAGCAGUAGGGAAUCUUCCGCAAUGGACGAAAGUCUGACGGAGCAACGCCGCGUGAGUGAUGAAGGUUUUCGGAUCGUAAAACUCUGUUGUUAGGGAAGAACAAGUACCGUUCGAAUAGGGCGGUACCUUGACGGUACCUAACCAGAAAGCCACGGCUAACUACGUGCCAGCAGCCGCGGUAAUACGUAGGUGGCAAGCGUUGUCCGGAAUUAUUGGGCGUAAAGCGCGCGCAGGCGGUUUCUUAAGUCUGAUGUGAAAGCCCCCGGCUCAACCGGGGAGGGUCAUUGGAAACUGG
rnacentral:rRNA from 1 species